GAGUUGGAAGAGUCAGGGUGAUGGUUUGUAGGAGCUCCAGGGGGACAAAAGCAUGCAACCAGUGUUGAAGACCAGGCUGUGCCCCUUGAGGUGAUUUAAGUGCUCCACAGUGGUCAGCUGGGAAAGAAUUCCAUAAACUUUCAUCAGCACUCAAAUGGAACAAUUUAAGUAUAUUACUGACAUCAGUCUCGCUGAUACUGGUUUUUAACAUACUUUGGAAAGGAAACGGAAAAAAGAGCACUGAAAAUCUCUGGGCUGGACCCUGUGUGAACCCCUCUGGAAGAAAAUGCUGCAGCACAUCUGCACUGGUAAUUAAUUUUAAU